GUUAGUCACAAUAUCUUCAAUCAAUGUGCUUGUGUCAAGAUAUAACGACCCAGUUGCUGAACAUAUUUCUGAAUUUAAGACCAAAAGGAAGAGGUGACUAAAACACCUGAAACAGAGAUGCUAUGCAAAAGAUCUGUGAAAGACCAUCUGCAAUUCUGACUGUUGAACUCCAGCAGCUGCAUAUAUAACAAGGCCCUGUGGACAAUUGGUACAAGCUAUUGAGAAGGCAGGCUGCCUGGUUUUGGUCUACAGUUGAGGAAAACUGCAGUGGAUGUUUGGUGCUUGUGGAGAAGCACACAGAGCUGUGCAAUGUUGUGGGCUGAGGGUGGUUCUUUAUGCUCACCAACAGAGCUGCCCAGCAUCACCAUUCCUGUCUCAGCCACAUCUUUGGCAGCCACAACACAUUUGCCUGCAGCCCUACUGAACUACCACGAAUCCAGCUGUGUUACAGGAAGAACCUGGGGUUCCCAUUCCUGUUUGUCAGAAGCUGCUGUUUAAUCACUGCUGUGUGAUUAAUGAGUAAUUUAUUUUUUGCUCAGAAAGAUCUGGGACUUUUGUUCUUUUUGCAAAAUGGAUUCUGGGGGUGGAAUGGGAAGGAAGUUAGAUGUUAAAAAUCUCAUUUAGCAUUGAACUCUGCAAAUGCUUUUGUCAGAAAUUGGGAAGUUUCAAAAUGUCAAAACAUUUUACUCAGAAAACAUGCAAGUAAAAUGUUUUGACAUCUUAAAAAUUAAAUGCUUCAUUAAACAAAUGGUGAAAUGAAACAUUUUGAGAAGCACUUACAACUUUGUAUUUAGCCCCCCCCCCCUUUAAAAGCUGUCCCUAUUAGAACAAUAAGGUCAGAAGGAGAUUAAAUAAUUCAGAACUGAAACAAAAUGCUUUUUACUUUGACGUAAGCUGCUACUUUGAUGUUUUUGAUAUAUUUCAAUGAAAACGCUACAAAAUUUCCCCAGAACCCUUCUAGUUUGCCUGGUUUCUGCUUGUUUUCCCAGACAACCACUGAU